GACGAACGCUGGCGGCGUGCUUAACACAUGCAAGUCGAACGGAAAGGCCCUGCUUUUGUGGGGUGCUCGAGUGGCGAACGGGUGAGUAACACGUGAGUAACCUGCCCUUGACUUUGGGAUAACUUCAGGAAACUGGGGCUAAUACCGGAUAGGAGCUCCUGCUGCAUGGUGGGGGUUGGAAAGUUUCGGCGGUUGGGGAUGGACUCGCGGCUUAUCAGCUUGUUGGUGGGGUAGUGGCUUACCAAGGCUUUGACGGGUAGCCGGCCUGAGAGGGUGACCGGGCACAAUGGGAAUGGGAUACGGCCCAGACUCCUAAGGGGGGCAGGAGGGGGGAAUAAUGGAAAAUGGGCGGAAGCCUGAUGCAGCAACGCCGCGUGCGGGAUGACGGCCUUCGGGUUGUAAACCGCUUUCGCCUGUGACGAAGCGUGAGUGACGGUAAUGGGUAAAGAAGCACCGGCUAACUACGUG
rnacentral:rRNA from 1 species